rnacentral:rRNA from 1 species
UAGGGAAUCUUCGGCAAUGGACGAAAGUCUGACCGAGCAACGCCGCGUGAGUGAAGAAGGUUUUCGGAUCGUAAAACUCUGUUGUUAGAGAAGAACAAGGACGUUAGUAACUGAACGUCCCCUGACGGUAUCUAACCAGAAAGCCACGGCUAACUACGUGCCAGCAGCCGCGGUAAUACGUAGGUGGCAAGCGUUGUCCGGAUUUAUUGGGCGUAAAGCGAGCGCAGGCGGUUUCUUAAGUCUGAUGUGAAAGCCCCCGGCUCAACCGGGGAGGGGCAUUGGAAACUGGUAGACUUGAGUGAAGAAGAGGAGAGUGGAAUUCCAUGUGGAGCGGUGAAAUGCGUAGAUAUAUGGAGGAACACCAGUGGCGAAGGCGGCUCACUGGUCUGUAACUGACGCUGAGGCUCGAAAGCGUGGGUAGCAAACAGG